UUACCAGGUCUUGACAUCCCCCGCGAUGCUUUAGAGAUAAAGCGGAGGUAUUCGGGGAGACAGGUGGUGCAUGGUUGUCGUCAGCUCGUGUCGUGAGAUGUUGGGUUAAGUCCCGCAACGAGCGCAACCCCUAUUGCUAGUUACCAUCAUUAAGUUGGGGACUCUAGCGAGACUGCCAGUGAUAAACUGGGGGAAGGUGGGGAUGACGUCAAAUCAUCAUGCCCCUUAUGACCUGGGCUACAAACGUGAUACAAUGGCUGGAACAAAGGGAUGCGAAGCAGUGAUGUGGAGCGAAACCCAUAAAAACAGUCUCAGUUCGGAUUGAAGUCUGCAACUCGACUUCAUGAAGUCGGAAUCGCUAGUAAUCGCGGAUCAGAACGCCGCGGUGAAUACGUUCUCGGGGUUU
rnacentral:rRNA from 1 species